GUGGGGAAUCUUCCGCAAUGGACGAAAGUCUGACGGAGCAACGCCGCGUGAGUGAAGAAGGUUUUCGGAUCGUAAAGCUCUUUCGUUAGGGACGAACGUGCUCUUUGUGAAUAAUGAGGAGUAAUGACGGUACCUAAAUAAGAAGCCACGGCUAACUACGUGCCAGCAGCCGCGGUAAUACGUAGGUGGCAAGCGUUGUCCGGAAUUAUUGGGCGUAAAGCGCGCGCAGGCGGGAUAUCAAGUCUGUCUUAAAAGUGCGAGGCUCAACCUCGUGAGGGGACAGAAACUGGUAUUCUUGAGUGUCGGAGAGGAAAGUGGAAUUCCAAGUGUAGCGGUGAAAUGCGUAGAGAUUUGGAAGAACACCAGUGGCGAAGGCGACUUUCUGGACGAUGUCUGACGCUGAGAUGCGAAAGCCAGGGUAGCGAACGGGAUUAGAAACCCUAGUAGUCC
rnacentral:rRNA from 1 species